AUUCCUUUGAUUUUGGGGAAAAUAUAAAGCGUGCGACACUUAUAAUACAUGCUAGGGAAACGAAACUCAAAAGAUUUUUUUUUGAUAAUAUGUCCCGCACAGGUGAGUAAUGUUUUGGAACUAAUUAAUUGGUCUGUUAGAAAAUAGUGGUGUUUAUAUAUACAUAGCCAGUUAUUAGGCCAGAAUCGUAUUAGGUUGAAGGGGGUAUUAAAAGUCCACCUUACCAAGGAUGCGUAGCCGAGAGGCCACACUUCCACUGAAACAAGGGGAAGACUCAAAUAGAGGCAGCAGUAGAGAAUAUUGUGCAAUGUAUGAAAGUAUGACCCAGAGAUGUCGCAUAAAUAGACCGUCUAAUAUACGUGCCAGCAGACGCGGUUAUCCGUAAGGUCUAAGUUUUUAUUAGGAAAAAGGCGUAAAGAGUGUAUAGGCGAAUUUUGUUAAGGUAUGGGUUUUAACGAGGUAAUUGGAACUUUUAUGUAGCGGUAGAAUGCUUUUAUAUAAAAUGGAACACCAGAGGCAAAGGCGAAUUACUAGUUAUAACUGACGUUGGUACACGAAAGUGGGGGUAGCAAACAGGAUUAGAUACCCUGGUAGUCUCCACUGUAAACUAUGAAUAUUAGACGGCGGGAUAACCGCCGUCGAGGAUAACUCAAGAAAAUUCCGCCUGAAGAGUACGGUCGCAAGAUUAAAAUUCAAAAAAUUUGGCGGUUCACUAAACCAAUUAGAGGAGCGUGUAGUUUAAUUCGAUAAUACGCGAUUAACCUUACCAAAACUUGAAUAUUUAAAAUUAGGGAUUUUUUUGUGUUUAAAGGAAUAUUAAUUACAGGUAUUGCAUGGCCGUCGUCAGUUCGUGUUGUGAAAGAAAUAGAACGAACUUAACCCUUAACUGUAAUUGUAAUAAAUAGUUUUUGGAUUUUACGGCAUUGGGGAUGACGUCAGGUCCUUAUGAUCCAAAUGUUUUGGGCUACAUAUGCGCUACAGUUUUUUACACAAAAAGCAAAAUUUAAUUUGGUUAAAAAGCUUUAAAGUAAAAGUUCGGAUUGUCUUAUGAAAUUGGGGCAGGAAGUUGGAUUUAAUAGUAAUCGGGAAGUAGAGCGUUCCGGUGAAUACGGCUCUAGUGUUCGUACAAAUCGCCCGUCACUUUUACCGAGUAAAAGACUCCCAAAGUGUCAACCCAGUAAUAUAAAAAGUAAGCGUUGUGUAGCAAAGUUAAGUGCAUAUUAUAUUGGGGGGGUUGGUAUUACGGAUAAUAUACGAGGUUGAAGAAGUCGUAACACAGCGAGGGUAUUGGAAAAUGUCCUCGGAUUAAU
rnacentral:rRNA from 1 species